rnacentral:rRNA from 1 species
GACGAACUGUCCUAACGUUGUUCGGAAUCACUGGGCUUAAAGGGCGCGUAGGCGGUCGAUCAAGUCAGGGGGGAAAUCCCACAGCUUAACUGUGGAAGUGCCUUUGAUACUGGUCGUCUGGAGGGAGGUAGGGGUGUGUGGAACUCACAGUGGAGCGGUGAAAUGCGUUGAUAUUGUGAGGAACGCCGGAGGCGAAAGCGACGCACUGGACCUCUUCUGACGCUGAGGCGCGAAAGCUAGGGGAGCAAACGGG